CCAAUAGCGUAUAUUAAAGUUGUUGCAGUUAAAAAGCUCGUAGUUGAAUUUCGGGAUCAAUAUAUCGGUCGUGCCUUGGUACGUACUGGUAUCAUUGGUUUCUCCUUUCUGACGAACCAUGAUGUCAUUAAUUUGGUGUUAUGGGAAGUUAGGACUGUUACUUUGAAAAAAUUAGAGUGUUUAAAGCAGGCUUUAGCUUGAAUACAUUAGCAUGGAAUAAUGAAAUAGGACGUUCGAACCUAUUUUGUUGGUUUCUAGGAUCAACGUAAUGAUUAAUAGGGAUAGUUGGGGGCAUUAGUAUUCAAUUGUCAGAGGUGAAAUUCUUGGAUUUAUUGAAGACUAACUACUGCGAAAGCAUUUGCCAAGGAUGUUUUCAUUAAUCAAGAACGAAAGUUAGGGGAUCGAAGACGAUCAGAUACCGUCGUAGUCUUAACCAUAAACUAUGCCGACUAGGGAUCGGAUGAUGUUAAUUUUUUAAUGACUCAUUCGGCGCCUUACA
rnacentral:misc_RNA from 1 species